rnacentral:misc_RNA from 1 species
GGAAGUAAAAGUCGUAACAAUGUCUCCGUAGGUGAACCUGCGGAGGGAUCAUUACAGAGUUCGUGCCCUCGCGGGUAGACCUCCCACCCUGUGUUAUUGCUACCUUUGUUGCUUUGGCGGGCCGCCCUCGGCUACCGGCCCCGGCUGGUACGCGCCCGCCAGAGGACCCCAAACCCUGAACGUCAGUGUCGUCUGAGUACUAUACAAUAGUUAAAACUUUCAACAACGGAUCUCUUGGUUCUG